rnacentral:rRNA from 1 species
UUUGGGGGCGUUGCUUAACCUGCAAGUCGAACGAGCCUUCGGGCUAGUGGCGGACGGGUGAGUAACGCGUGGGAAUCUGCCCUCAGGAGGGGGAUAACGGCCGGAAACGGCCGCUAAUACCCCAUAUGCCGAGAGGUGAAAUGAAUUUCGCCUGAGGAUGAGCCCGCGUCUGAUUAGCUAGUUGGUGGGGUAAUGGCCCACCAAGGCGACGAUCAGUAGCUGGUCUGAGAGGAUGAUCAGCCACACUGGGACUGAGACACGGCCCAGACUCCUACGGGAGGCAGCAGUGGGGAAUUUUCCGCAAUGGGCGAAAGCCUGACGGAGCAACGCCGCGUGAGGGAUGAAGGCCUCUGGGCUGUAAACCUCUUUUCUCAAGGAAGAAGACAUGACGGUACUUGAGGAAUAAGCCACGGCUAAUUCCGUGCCAGCAGCCGCGGUAAUACGGGAGUGGCAAGCGUUAUCCGGAAUUAUUGGGCGUAAAGCGUCCGCAGGCGGCCUUGUAAGUCUGUCGUUAAAGCGUGGAGCUUAACUCCAUUUCAGCGAUGGAAACUACAAGGCUUGAGUGUGGUAGGGGCAGAGGGAAUUCCCGGUGUAGCGGUGAAAUGCGUAGAUAUCGGGAAGAACACCAGUGGCGAAGGCGCUCUGCUGGGCCAUAACUGACGCUCAUGGACGAAAGCCAGGGGAGCGAAAGGGAUUAGAUACCCCUGUAGUCCUGGCCGUAAACGAUGAACACUAGGUGUCGGGGGAAUCGACCCCCUCGGUGUCGUAGCUAACGCGUUAAGUGUUCCGCCUGGGAGUACGCACGCAAGUGUGAAACUCAAAGGAAUUGACGGGGGCCCGCACAAGCGGUGGAGUAUGUGGUUUAAUUCGAUGCAACGCGAAGAACCUUACCAGGGUUUGACAUCCUGCGAAUCCCUUGGAAACGAGGGAGUGCCUUCGGGAGCGCAGAGACAGGUGGUGCAUGGCUGUCGUCAGCUCGUGUCGUGAGAUGUUGGGUUAAGUCCCGCAACGAGCGCAACCCACGUCUUUAGUUGCCAGCAUUCAGUUGGGCACUCUAGAGAGACCGCCGGUGAUAAACCGGAGGAAGGUGUGGAUGACGUCAAGUCAUCAUGCCCCUUACAUCCUGGGCUACACACGUACUACAAUGCUACGGACAAAGGGUUGCAAGCUCGCGAGAGUUAGCUAAUCCCAUAAACCGUGGCUCAGUUCAGAUCGUAGGCUGCAACUCGCCUACGUGAAGGAGGAAUCGCUAGUAAUCGCAGGUCAGCAUACUGCGGUGAAUACGUUCCCGGGCCUUGUACACACCGCCCGUCACACCAUGGAAGUUGGCCAUGCCCGAAGUCGUUACUCCAACCCUUGUGGAGGAGGACGCCGAAGGUGGGGCUGAUGACUGGGGUGAAGUCGUAACAAGGUAGCCGUACCGGAAGGUGCGGCUGGAUCACCUCCUA